UCCUCUAGUACACCAUCAGCUCCUAUUCCCUUUUUCCAGAGGAGAGCAGACACUAUGCUGAUUAUUUGCCCCAAUUUAAUGCACCCAUUUUUGGUAAACCUGCAUUCAGUAGUGUCCGAAAUCCAGGAAUACUUCCUCUCAGGGAAGGCCACAGAUGCCAAGCUGGGGAAGGUCUUCUUUGAGGAGCUGCACCUCCUUCUUUGGCAAGCUUCCUCAGCUUCUGUCCUGGCAUGGCAGCAGCCACUGCAGGCUCACACCCAGCUGCCUUUGCCUGCUGGCCUCGCUCAGCCUCCCACCUGAGGCUUCCCAUCGAUAUCCCGAAGGCUGAAUCUUUAAGGGGAAGAAUUUGCUAUUUUAGGAUCUGUCCUUUGGCUUCAGGAAGACAUACAGCAGCCUCUGCUCUGUUUUUAUGAAACACCUUGACUCCAAUAAAAGAUGCCAGGUAGAAUG